rnacentral:lncRNA from 1 species
AUGCUGGGUCUGCAGCAGAAGCAUCCUCUGAGGCAGCUGAGACACCUCAAACCCCUAAACAUCAAUGGGGUCCUGGCAGCUGAGCAGGCAGUGGUUCCCAUGGCAAUGGCGGAGUUUCCGGGCCUCUCUUGUGACCCUGCCCCUCCGCGCUCUUCCGGGGCACCGGAGAACGGCCCUGGACUACAUGAGGCUGCCUCCCGCUCCUCCUCCGGCUCUCGAACCUCUCCUCCUCCCGUCAUCUCUGCACUCGCACUGAUGGUGCAGUCCCAGCGCUGCCCCUUUGGCUACCCUUCCACCUACAGUGAACCAAAGAGCCGCACGUCCUCACCUGAGUCAGGCGCAGAAGGGGAGAUACGGAGCCCCAGCUGCAGCAGACAACACUCAGAAGAAGCAGAGGAGGAGGAGUCAGCAGUGUGGGUCUGGCGACAGACGUGCUGGGAACCUGGAUUGCCUUGGGCACCACCUCACAUUCAUGCAUUCUGUUGCCAGAUGAAGGACUCCCACCUUCAGGCCUCAGUUUCCUCAUCUGUGAAGAGGUGGUGAGGAUUAAACCUCACCCUAAAUAGAACAGUCUCCAGACUGUACCUGGGAUGUACAGUUAACCCCAGGUGUUGGCUUGACUGGCUUAGCUGGCCAGGGGAUUAAUUCACUCAGGUCUUAGCUGGGUGAGCUGUUAGGUGGGGCUCAUGGAGAUGAUCACUCUGAUCUCCAGCUGCCCUGAACUGAGCAGCUUUGCUCCCUCACACUGUUUGCCAUGAUGUUUCUGCCUUGGAUCCAGCUGACCGUGGACUGAACCCCCUGAGAACAUGAGCUAAAUAAACCAUGCCUCCUUUACGUUGCAUACCUCAGGUAUACCACAAUCCAUACCACAAUGGAAAAGCUGGCUGAUACAUGGGAUGAACCACACUGGUACUUUCCUUCCUCCUUGUUACACCAUUUCUUCGCCAUUGGAACCCCUCUGCCCAUCAUCCCAGACUCCCACAGAACUGAGCGCCCCUACCCUAUUUCAUCUUUCUGCAUGGCCAGAAGCUCAGGGCAUGGAGUGCUGGGCACAGUGACUCCAUGGGCCUGGUGACAGGAAGGGGCUGGCCAUUGCCAGCCCCUGUAGGGUUUCCUAUUUCUAGGCAGGGCUGAAAGACAGCUGACACCCUGCUUUCCUCCCUGGCUGCCUCCACGGGGAGCCCCCAGUCUUCUUCACUUGCAGGAUUUGCUACAGAUGUUUCCAGAGAAACAGGGGUGAAUGAAAACCCGAAGACCUCCUGUUUCUGCUUGGAUCAUGGGGCUGCAGCCUGGCUUACCAGGGGUGACCAGAAUCCCACAGCUGCACCCUCCCCCUCCACUCUGCAUGGUUGGGAGGGGACUUUGAGGCUCUGGUGACUGUCCAGCCGGCCCCUGGCUCCUGCGCUCAGCCAGGCCAGCUCACCAGCGUGCCAUGGAGAGUCUGCCUUGCACUCGUCCUCAGCACACCAGGGAGCCAGCCAGCACCUGCCCUGGGGCCCCGUGACUGCAGGCACCUGACCAGGCCUCAGGCCAUUCCUAUCACCUGUGAAAGCAGCCAAUCCCAGCCUCGCUAGUCCACAGUGGCAGUGCACAAGUGCCCAUCAAAGCCCCUGGGUAAAUAAAUACCCACCGAGGGACGGAGGAGGAGUGCGUGCCCUGUCUUGUUAAGACUGAGCUUACGGGACUCAGCAAAACUGCCUUGGUCUGUUAGGAUUUAAUUUCUUUCAUGUAUGGUUUGGAUCUAAAAUGUCCCCCAAAAGCCUCCUGUGUGGAAGGUGAUGGAUCCUGGGGUGCUCUGCUCACCAGUGGAUUCAUCAUGGAAGAAUUCAGAGCUGACUGAACUGAGGGAGGCGUGGCCAGAGGGGCGGAGUCCCGGGGGUGACCUGAAGGCUGUGCUCUUGUCCCAGGCUCCUCCCCGCUCUCCCUGCCUCCUGGCUGCCUCGUGUUGUGCAUCUUCCCCUCUCCUGUCCCAUCUCCACCUUGGAGCCACCGACCAUGGACCAUGGACUGAACCUGUGAGCCCAAGUCAGCCUCUCCUCCUCUGAGCUGCGAGUGUUGGGUAUUUUGUCCCAGGGACAGGAAAGUGGCUAAGACCCUGUCUCUCCAUCUGCAGUACAAGGUGACAGGGCUGCCCCACUGCCACUCACUUCCUGCUGNNNNNNNNNNNNNNNNNNNNNNNNNNNCCUGCUGAUGGAGACGCUGCCCAGUUACUUCUCUUCCCUGGGCACUGAGGGGUGCAAACAGCGAGUUCCUCCAGAGGAGCAAUGCAGAUCCUCGCUGUCCACAGGAGUCCUGGCCACUGGUCACACAUCCAUGGAGAACCAAGGCAGAUCCUCCAGGAAGGAACACUCUGGGUCCAGGUCCUCAUCCCUAACGCGCUAUGGAAGGAACAGUCUGGAAGGACAGCAGCACACACGGGGGCUCCGGGUCAGAUCAGAGACCACACAGGAGCACCAACCCUGGGGAGCCGGGUCUGAGACAAGGACAGCAGGCCUCCCACCUGUGCGGGGGAUUCAGGAUCUCGGCUGGCUUCACAGUGAGCACAUGGGAGGCUUCUGUCCAAGGCAUAUUGACAUUUCCUGCAGAAUGUCUUAGAAAUGUGUGCAUUAAAUAAAUUGAUUAAGUGACUCAUGA